rnacentral:rRNA from 1 species
CCCUUAGAUGUCCUGGGCCGCACGCGCGCUACACUGAUGCAUGCAACGAGUUUCAUUUCUCCUGGGUCGAGAGGCCCGGGUAAUCUUUGAAUCUGCAUCGUGACGGGGAUAGAUUAUUGCAAUUAUUAAUCUUCAACGAGGAAUGCCUAGUAGGCGCAAGUCAUCAGCUUGCGUCGAUUACGUCCCUGCCCUUUGUACACACCGCCCGUCGCUCCUACCGAUUGGGUGUGCUGGUGAAAUGUUCGGAUCGGCCGUUUGUCGCGGUUUCCGCGGCUCGUGGCUGAGAAGUUCAUUAAACCCUCCCACCUAGAGGAAGGAGAAGUCGUAACA